CCUACGGGUGGCAGCAGUGGGGGAUAUUGCACAAUGGGGGGAACCCUGAUGCAGCGACGCCGCGUGUGGGAAGACGGUCUUCUGGAUUGUAAACCACUGUCCCCAGGGACGAAAAUGACGGUACCUGGGGAGGAAGCUCCGGCUAACUACGUGCCAGCAGCCGCGGUAAUACGGAGGGAGCAAGCGUUGUCCGGAAUUACUGGGUGUAAAGGGAGCGUAGGCGGGGAUGCAAGUUGGGUGUCAAAACUACCGGCUCAACCGAUAGUCGCACUCAAAACUGCAGCUCUGGAGUGAAGUAGAGGCAGGCGGAAUUCCUAGUGUAGCGGUGAAAUGCGUAGAUAUUAGGAGGAACACCAGUGGCGAAGGCGGCCUGCUGGGCUUUUACUGACGCUGAGGCUCGAAAGUGUGGGGAGCAAACAGGAUUAGAUACCCCGGUAGUC
rnacentral:rRNA from 1 species